rnacentral:rRNA from 1 species
GGUUCUAACUCAGGUCCGUUAUCCGGAUCGAGGACAGUGUAUGGUGGGUAGUUUGACUGGGGCGGUCUCCUCCUAAAGAGUAACGGAGGAGUACGAAGGUGCGCUCAGACCGGUCGGAAAUCGGUCGUAGAGUAUAAAGGCAAAAGCGCGCUUGACUGCGAGACAGACACGUCGAGCAGGUACGAAAGUAGGUCUUAGUGAUCCGGUGGUUCUGUAUGGAAGGGCCAUCGCUCAACGGAUAAAAGGUACUCCGGGGAUAACAGGCUGAUACCGCCCAAGAGUUCAUAUCGACGGCGGUGUUUGGCACCUCGAUGUCGGCUCAUCACAUCCUGGGGCUGAAGCCGGUCCCAAGGGUAUGGCUGUUCGCCAUUUAAAGUGGUACGCGAGCUGGGUUUAGAACGUCGUGAGACAGUUCGGUCCCUAUCUGCCGUGGACGUUUGAGAUUUGAGAGGGGCUGCUCCUAGUACGAGAGGACCGGAGUGGACGAACCUCUGGUGUUCCGGUUGUCACGCCAGUGGCAUUGCCGGGUAGCUAUGUUCGGAAUAGAUAACCGCUGAAAGCAUCUAAGCGGGAAACUAGCCUCAAGAUGAGAUCUCACUGGGACCUUGAGUCCCCUGAAGGGCCGUCGAAGACUACGACGUUGAUAGGUUGGGUGUGUAAGCGCUGUGAGGCGUUGAGCUAACCAAUACUAAUUGCCCGUGAGGCUUGACCAUAUAACACCCAAGCAAUU